rnacentral:misc_RNA from 1 species
AACGCACAUUGCGCCUCCUGGUAUUCCGGGAGGCAUGCCUGUUCGAGCGUCAUUAAAAACCAUCAAGCACUCUUGCUUGGACUUGGGAGAUGAGUGCCUACGGUUCUCACUGCCGAAAUUGAAUGGCGGAUAGCCUUGGGGUGCCCCAGCGUAGUAAGUCUUCUUUCGCUUGGAACCCGAGACGGUCCCGCCCUCAACCCCCACAUUUCUAUGGUUGACCUCGGAUCAGGUAGGGAUACCCGCUGAACUUAA